CCUACGGGCGGCAGCAGUGAGGAAUAUUGGUCAAUGGACGAGAGUCUGAACCAGCCAAGUAGCGUGAAGGAUGACUGCCCUAUGGGUUGUAAACUUCUUUUAUAUGGGAAUAAAAUGUUCCACGUGUGGGAUUUUGUAUGUACCAUAUGAAUAAGGAUCGGCUAACUCCGUGCCAGCAGCCGCGGUAAUACGGAGGAUCCGAGCGUUAUCCGGAUUUAUUGGGUUUAAAGGGAGCGUAGGUGGAUUGUUAAGUCAGUUGUGAAAGUGUGCGGCUCAACCGUAAAAUUGCAGUUGAAACUGGCAGUCUUGAGUACAGUAGAGGUGGGCGGAAUUCGUGGUGUAGCGGUGAAAUGCUUAGAUAUCACGAAGAACUCCGAUUGCGAAGGCAGUUCACUGGACUGCAACUGACACUGAGGCUCGAAAGUGUGGGUAUCAAACAGGAUUAGAUACCCGUGUAGUC
rnacentral:rRNA from 1 species